AUAUUUAAUCGAUAUGAUGAUACAUUCCCGGGACGCAUGUGUAUUAUGAAAAUAUAGACCGAGGCAUCCCGUAGCCCGAAGGCUCGUGUCAUACGGGGGAUCCACGAAUCUCUAAUGGUGCGCCGAGGGUGUGAAUCGAAUGAUAGAGGCGUGCACUUGCGAGAGCCAGCACAACCUCUGAAGCUUCGUUAAUGAUCCUUCCGCAGGUUCACCUACGGAAA
rnacentral:misc_RNA from 1 species